UUCAAAGAGGGAGAUGUAGCAGUUCUCUCCACUCCACGUCCUGGAUCAGUCCGAUCACGGAGAAGUGGCACCUCAACAUUUGGGGAUGGUGAUGAGCCUGAAAUUAGUGGUCGUGUAGCUGGUACUGUGAGGCGACACAUACCUAUUGAUACUCGAGACCCUGCCGGAGCCAUCCUGCAUUUCUAUGUUGGAGAUCCGUAUGACACCAACAGCAAUAUUGGUAGUGAUCACAUACUGCGGAAACUGCAACCAAGAG
rnacentral:misc_RNA from 1 species